GACGAACGCUGGCGGCGUGCCUAAUACAUGCAAGUCGAGCGGACCAAAGGGAGCUUGCUCCUGGAGGUUAGCGGCGAACGGGUGAGUAACACGUGGGCAACCUGCCUGUAAGACUGGGAUAACAUCGAGAAAUCGGUGCUAAUACCGGAUAAUAAAAAGAACUGCAUGGUUCUUUUUUGAAAGAUGGUUUCGGCUAUCACUUACAGAUGGGCCCGCGGCGCAUUAGCUAGUUGGUGAGGUAACGGCUCACCAAGGCAACGAUGCGUAGCCGACCUGAGAGGGUGAUCGGCCACACUGGGACUGAGACACGGCCCAGACUCCUACGGGAGGCAGCAGUAGGGAAUCUUCCGCAAUGGACGAAAGUCUGACGGAGCAACGCCGCGUGAGUGAUGAAGGUUUUCGGAUCGUAAAACUCUAGUUGUUAGGGAAGAACAAGUGCCGUUCGAAAGGGCGGCACCUUGACGGUACCUAACGAGAAAGCC
rnacentral:rRNA from 1 species